rnacentral:rRNA from 1 species
UGGGGAAUUUUGGACAAUGGGCGAAAGCCUGAUCCAGCAAUGCCGCGUGCAGGAUGAAGGCCUUCGGGUUGUAAACUGCUUUUGUACGGAACGAAAAAGCUCCUUCUAAUACAGGGGGCCCCAUGACGGUACCGUAAGAAUAAGCACCGGCUAACUACGUGGCCAAGCAGCCGCGGUAAUACGUAGGGUGCGAGCGUUAAUCGGAAUUACUGGGCGUAAAGCGUGCGCAGGCGGUUAUGUAAGACAGAUGUGAAAUCCCCGGGCUCAACCUGGGAACUGCAUUUGUGACUGCAUGGCUAGAGUACGGUAGAGGGGGAUGGAAAUUCCGCGUGUAGCAGUGAAAUGCGUUAGAUAUGCGGAGGAACACCGAUGGCGAAGGCAAUCCCCCUGGACCUGUACUGACGCUCAUGCACGAAAGCGUGGGGAGCAAACA